rnacentral:rRNA from 1 species
GAUGAACGCUGGCGGCAGGCCUAACACAUGCAAGUCGAAGGGAAGCCUUUCUUCGGAGAGGUGGAGACUGGCGCACGGGUGAGUAACGCGUGGGAACCUACCCUGGGUGGGGAUAACCGCUGGAAACGGCGCUAAUACCGCAUACGUCCUGAGGAGAAAGCUUUAGCGCCCUGGGAUGGGCCCGCGUUGGAUUAGCUAGUUGGU